UACGGGGGGAGCAAGCGUUGUUCGGAAUUACUGGGCGUAAAGAGUGUGUAGGCGGUGCUCUAAGUUCGGUGUGAAAUCUCCUGCUUAACUGGGAGGGUGCGCCGGAAACUGGAGUGCUUGAGCGUGGGAGAGGAAAGCGGAAUUCCUGGUGUAGCGGUGAAAUGCGCAGAUAUCAGGAGGAACACCGGUGGCGAAGGCGGGUCUCUGGGCCGUAACUGACGCUGAGGAGCGAAAGCGUGGGGAGCGAACAGG
rnacentral:rRNA from 1 species